rnacentral:rRNA from 1 species
ACAGCAGUAGCCACGGGAAUACAGAGGGUGCGAGCGUUAAUCGGAUUUACUGGGCGUAAAGCGUGCGUAGGCGGCUUCUUAAGUCGGAUGUGAAAUCCCUGAGCUUAACUUAGGAAUUGCAUUCGAUACUGGGAAGCUAGAGUAUGGGAGAGGAUGGUAGAAUUCCAGGUGUAGCGGUGAAAUGCGUAGAGAUCUGGAGGAAUACCGAUGGCGAAGGCAGCCAUCUGGCCUAAUACUGACGCUGAGGUACGAAAGCAUGGGGAGCAAACAGGAUUAGAUACCCGAGUAGUCCCUGUCUCUUAUAC